UUUCAAAAUAAUCAGCUUGCCUUUUAAUUUGGCUCUUACGACUAAUAAAACAUUAGACUUCACCACAUUCACACGUAAAGGUUGGUAUGCAAGUCUUCCUUCUUUAAUGACCACACAGCUCAUGUCACAUUAUUAUUUAUUAUUUUAGAUAAAGAAAUGCCAAUAAUUGAGAUUUCCCAUUGUUUAUUCAAAGAAUGCAAAGCGUGCAGCAGCUCUGUCUUUUUUCCUUCUUUUGAGGAUAGAGAAAGAGGAUCCAGGGCAAGAACAUUAAGUUAUAAGGGGCUAGUUUGAUGGGAGUUAGGACACCCUUGUCCUAAAUCAUGUCUUUAAUUAUUGUGUGACAGGUUCCACGUCCACUCCUCGCGACUGAUCCCGAGGCUUUGUUGUUGAGUGUCUAGGGUGAGCAUGCUUGAUGGAUCCGCAGCCCGGAGACUUUUUCUUUAUACUUGUCUUUUCUUGCAUUCUGAGACAGUAUUUGUAUUUUGAGAUUUUGUAUUAUUCCAGACUUGUAGUUGAUUAGUAGUGGCUCUUGUACUGUAUUCAGACCAGUUCCUUGGGGUUCUAUUAGUGUUGUAUUUCGCACUUAUUUAUAUUUACAUUUGAGACUUA